CGCACCUUGCGCUCCUUGGUAUUCCGAGGAGCAUGCCUGUUUGAGUGUCAUGAAACUCUCAAACCCAAGUUUUGGAUUUCGAUCCAUGCUUGAGUUUGGAUUUGGAUGUUUGCCGGUGAUAAGCCGACUCAUCUUAAAAGUAUUAGCUAGAUCUGUCUCUAUGACUGGUUUGACUUGGCAUAAUAAGUAUUUUGCUGAGGACAUCUUCGGAUGGCCAGGACCUAGACUAUUGUCUGCUAACUAAACCAUCACUUUAAGUGCAUCUUCGGAUGUUACUCAUUGUGUAACUUUGACAUCUGGCCUCAAAUCAGGUAGGACUACCCGCUGAACUUAA
rnacentral:misc_RNA from 1 species